AGAGUUUGAUCAUGGCUCAGGAUAAACGCUGGCGGCGUGCUUUAUGCAUGCAAGUCGAACGGUACCGAUGAGCCAAGCUUGCUUGGAACAUCGGGAGAGUGACAAACGGGUGAGUAACACGUAAGUAGCCUGCCCCCAAGUGGGGAAUAACCCCGAGAAAUUGGAGCUAAUACCGUAUGUGGUGGUGGAGGUAAGGCUUCAUCACUAAAGCCUUCGGGCGCUUGGGGAGGGGCUUGUGUCCGAUUAGCUAGUUGGUAGGGUAACGGUUUACCAAGGCGAUGAUCGGUAGCUGGUUUGAGAGGACGAUCAGCCACACUGGGACUGAGACACGGCCCAGACUCCUACGGGAGGCAGC
rnacentral:rRNA from 1 species